UUCCUUGUGGUGUAAUGGAUGUACACAUUCGGCACACAACCAAGAGAUCUCGGGUUCGAAUCCUAGGAGAGGAAG